rnacentral:rRNA from 1 species
ACGCUGGCGGCGUGCCUAAUACAUGCAAGUAGAACGCUGAAGAGAGGAGCUUGCUCUUCUUGGAUGAGUUGCGAACGGGUGAGUAACGCGUAGGUAACCUGCCUUGUAGCGGGGGAUAACUAUUGGAAACGAUAGCUAAUACCGCAUAACAAUGGAUGACUCAUGUCAUUUAUUUGAAAGGGGCAAAUGCUCCACUACAAGAUGGACCUGCGUUGUAUUAGCUAGUAGGUGAGGUAACGGCUCACCUAGGCGACGAUACAUAGCCGACCUGAGAGGGUGAUCGGCCACACUGGGACUGAGACACGGCCCAGACUCCUACGGGAGGCAGCAGUAGGGAAUCUUCGGCAAUGGGGGCAACCCUGACCGAGCAACGCCGCGUGAGUGAAGAAGGUUUUCGGAUCGUAAAGCUCUGUUGUAAGUCAAGAACGAGUGUGAGAGUGGAAAGUUCACACUGUGACGGUAGCUUACCAGAAAGGGACGGCUAACUACGUGCCAGCAGCCGCGGUAAUACGUAGGUCCCGAGCGUUGUCCGGAUUUAUUGGGCGUAAAGCGAGCGCAGGCGGUUUGAUAAGUCUGAAGUUAAAGGCUGUGGCUCAACCAUAGUUCGCUUUGGAAACUGUCAAACUUGAGUGCAGAAGGGGAGAGUGGAAUUCCAUGUGUAGCGGUGAAAUGCGUAGAUAUAUGGAGGAACACCGGUGGCGAAAGCGGCUCUCUGGUCUGUAACUGACGCUGAGGCUCGAAAGCGUGGGGAGCGAACAGGAUUAGAUACCCUGGUAGUCCACGCCGUAAACGAUGAGUGCUAGGUGUUGGAUCCUUUCCGGGAUUCAGUGCCGCAGCUAACGCAUUAAGCACUCCGCCUGGGGAGUACGACCGCAAGGUUGAAACUCAAAGGGAAUUGACGGGGGCCCGCACAAGCGGUGGA